rnacentral:hammerhead_ribozyme from 1 species
ACCCAGCUGACGAGUCUCAAAUAGGACGAAACGCGCAUCCUGGAU